rnacentral:rRNA from 1 species
AAUCUUCACAAUGCGCGCAAGCGUGAUGAGGGAAUCCCAGGUGCCCUUGCACUGCAAGGGCUUUUGUGGAGUGUAAAAAGCUCUACGAAUAAGGGCUGGGCAAGACCAGUGCCAGCCUCCGCGGUAACACUGGCAGCUCGAGUGGUGGUCGUUUUUAUUGGGCUUAAAGCGUCCGUAGCCGGCUUAUUAAGUCUUUUGGGAAAUCUGGCGGCUCAAUCGUCAGG